rnacentral:rRNA from 1 species
CCUACGGGUGGCAGCAGUGAGGAAUAUUGGUCAAUGGGCGCGAGCCUGAACCAGCCAAGUAGCGUGAAGGAUGACUGCCCUACGGGUUGUAAACUUCUUUUAUAAAGGAAUAAAGUGAGGCACGUGUGCCUUUUUGUAUGUACUUUAUGAAUAAGGAUCGGCUAACUCCGUGCCAGCAGCCGCGGUAAUACGGAGGAUCCGAGCGUUAUCCGGAUUUAUUGGGUUUAAAGGGUGCGUAGAUGGUUUGUUAAGUUAGUUGUGAAAUGUUGCGGCUGAACCGUAGAACUGCAUUUGAUACUGUCAGUCUUGAGUAGAGUUGAGGUAGGUGGAAUGCGUGGUGUAGCGGUGAAAUGCUUAGAUAUCACGAAGAACUCCGAUUGCGAAGGCAGCUUACUAAACUGCCACUGACAUUGAUGCACGAAAGUGUGGGGAGCAAACAGGAUUAGAUACCCCUGUAGUC